rnacentral:rRNA from 1 species
UACGUAGGCGGCAAGCGUUGUCCGGAUUUAUUGGGUUUAAAGGGUGCGUAGGCGGCUUUUUGAGUCAGUGGUGAAAGCCGAUCGCUUAACGAUCGAACUGCCAUUGAUACUGAAAAGCUUGAGUAUAGUUGAGGUAGGCGGAAUUGACAGUGUAGCGGUGAAAUGCAUAGAUAUUGUCAAGAACACCAAUUGCGUAGGCAGCUUACUAAAGUAUAACUGACGCUGAGGCACGAAAGUGCGGGGAUCAAACAGG